UGGGCAGUAGCUCAGCUGGUUAGAGCAACAACAACUUUCCGCUGUUGGCAAACAAAGUUCCUCUACUUGUGGGGCGCAGGUUCGAAUCCUGCCUGCUCAGCAA
rnacentral:tRNA from 1 species